UUUCUUUUGUUUUGUAUAUCUCAUCUGAAAUCAGUUGUAUCCUGGUUCUCCGAUUGUUGUGAUCCAGUCAGUCCGAUAACCGGAUCUAAUUUGCAAUACCAAGAACCCUAAAUAUAGAAUUAACACAAGCGUUUCUUUUCAUCCUUUGCCUCCAAUUAGUUCUCUUUUUUUUCAAUUGAAAGAACCUAGAUCUCAUCUCUCUACGGUCAAAAGUAACCUGGAGUCAUCGGAACUGGCGGCACUUGAAGCAUCCAAAGGAUUCGAGAGACGAUAAUGUUCCCUGUUUCAAAUCUUUUUGAGGUGCUCAGUUUUUCUGUCGACAAGGUGGUUGUGGCGUUUGAUUUAUAUGGUUAGGGUUUUCCAGAAUUGGGCUGACGGGAGAUCCGGGCACUCCAAAUAAGUGAGACAGGCAAGAGUGAGCUACUUCCGUACCAGCUUGAAGGAUUGAAUUUCUUACGUUUCUCAUGGUCUAAAGUCUAAACAAACACAUGUGAUACUUGCAGACGAAAUGGGUCUUGGGAAACGAUACAAAGUAUUGCUUUUUUGGCAUCGUUGUCUAAAGAGAAUGUCUCCCCUCAUUUAGUAGCACCGCUUUCUACAUUAAGGAAUUGGGAACAUUAAUUUGCUAUAUGGGCUGCUAAUAUGAAUGUU
rnacentral:lncRNA from 1 species